rnacentral:rRNA from 1 species
UACGAAGGGGGCUAGCGUUGUUCGGAUUUACUGGGCGUAAAGCGCACGUAGGCGGAUCGUUAAGUCGGGGGUGAAAUCCUGGAGCUCAACUCCAGAACUGCCUUCGAUACUGGCGAUCUCGAGUCCGGAAGAGGUGAGUGGAACUCCUAGUGUAGAGGUGGAAUUCGUAGAUAUUAGGAAGAACACCAGUGGCGAAGGCGGCGCACUGGUCCGGUACUGACGCUGAGGUGCGAAAGCGUGGGGAGCAAACAGG